rnacentral:rRNA from 1 species
UACAGAGACUGCAAGCGUUACUCGGAUUCACUGGGCGUAAAGGGAGCGCAGGUGGGCAGGUGUGUCGGGCGUGAAAUCCCGGGGCUUAACCCCGGUACGGCGCCCGAAACUAUCUGUCUAGAGGAUUGGAGAGGCGGGUGGAAUUCCAGGUGUAGCGGUGAAAUGCGUAGAUAUCUGGAGGAACCCCGACGGUGAAGGCAGCCCGCUGGACAAAUCCUUACACUCAGGCUCGAAAGUAUGGGGAGCAAAAGGU